GAUGAAGAACGCAGCGAAAUGCGAUAAGUAGUGUGAAUUGCAGAAUUCAGUGAAUCAUCGAAUCUUUGAACGCGCAUUGCGCCCUUUGGUAUUCCUUAGGGCAUGCCUGUUCGAGCGUCAUUUAAACCUUCAAGCUCAGCUUGGUGUUGGGUGUCUGUCCCGCCUCGGCGCGGACUCGCCUUAAAUUCAUUGGCGGCCGGUACAUUGGCUUCGAGCGCAGCAGAAACGCGAACUCGGAGACUUUGGAUCAGCUCCCAGAAGCUAAUUUCUAAUUUUUGACCUCGGAUCAGGUAGGGAUACCCGCUGAACUUAAGCAUAUCAAUAAGCGGAGAA
rnacentral:misc_RNA from 1 species